GACGAACCGUGCGAACGUUGUUCGGAAUCACUGGGCUUAAAGGGCGCGUAGGCGGGCCAUCAAGUCCGGGGUGAAAUCCUCCGGCUUAACCGGAGAAUUGCCUUGGAUACUGGUGGUCUUGAGGGAAGUAGGGGUGCUGCGGAACUUCCGGUGGAGCGGUGAAAUGUGUUGAUAUCGGAAGGAACGCCGGUGGCGAAAGCGGCGGACUGGGCUUCUUCUGACGCUGAGGCGCGAAAGCUAGGGGAGCAAACGGG
rnacentral:rRNA from 1 species